rnacentral:rRNA from 1 species
UACAGAGGAGGCAAGCGUUGUUCGGAAUUACUGGGCGUAAAGGGCGCGUAGGCGGCCUGCUAAGUCGAACGUGAAAUCCCUGGGCUCAACCCAGGAACUGCGUCCGAUACUGGUUGGCUUGAAUCCGGGAGAGGGAUGCGGAAUUCCAGGUGUAGCGGUGAAAUGCGUAGAUAUCUGGAGGAACACCGGUGGCGAAGGCGGCAUCCUGGACCGGCAUUGACGCUGAGGCGCGAAAGCUAGGGGAGCAAACGGG